AAGAAACCAGUGAAAAAAUGGAAACCACAGAGACUGUUGCUGCCAGAAAAUCAUUCAUUGUGGUGAUUAACCUGAUUGGAUGGAUGGUGUUAAUAUCAGCUAUUGGAUUAGGAGUCAUCCAUUUGUAUGAGUGUCCUGUACAACCAAACCUUCCCAUCUAUCUGACUGUGACUGGUGUGAGUGGACUGCUUUCAUUGCUGCUGAUAUACAUAAGGAACACUAUGGAUGACUGUCUCCUUGCUCGUGUCUGCAGCGUUUUCAGCCUGACUCUCUACAUAUUCAUUGUGUGCUGGUUUAUUGCUGGUACAUACUGGAUUUACUCUGUAUAUCCUCCCAACUAUGACCUCACCAGUGCUACCAACCACUGUCACAGAACAACGUACCUGUUUGCAUUUUGGUUGAACAAUCUCUGUUUUCUCUGUGUGUCCAUAUUGCUUGUUUUUUGUAUCUAUGCCAUCUUACACAACUUUGCUAAUGCUUUAUUUUACCGAUAAUA